GUGAAUGCGAGAAUUCUGCUUUAACACAUGCGAGUCGGAUGAAAUGGUUACAUUUAGAAUGGCGUACGGGUGUAAAAUGUAUUUAUGAUACUUCCUGCAGAAUGGUUUUAAUGAUAAAAAUACCAUAUACAAAAACCAUUAUGGUGCUGCAGACGUAUGGAUAUCAGAUCAAGUAGUAGGGACGCUACCGCGUCCCUAGCUUUCGACCUGUUAGCUGGUUUGGGAGAACGGCCAGCCACAUCGGAAUUGAAAUAUGGACCGAACUGUACUUCGGGCAGCAGUGUGGAAUAUUGGGCAAUGCGCGCAAGCGUGACCCAGCGUGAAUUUGUUGAUUUGGCUAGGUUAGAGGAUCGCAUGCUUCGGAUGGUGGCUCAACAGGAACUCAAGAUCCUUAGAGCCCAAACGCUGACUAAAUCUGU
rnacentral:rRNA from 1 species